GACGUAGGGCGCGAGCGUUGUCCGGAUUUAUUGGGCGUAAAGAGCUCGUAGGCGGUUCGUCGCGUCGGCUGUGAAAUCCCGAGGCUCAACCUCGGGUCUGCAGUCGAUACGGGCGGACUGGAGUUCGGCAGGGGAGACUGGAAUUCCUGGUGUAGCGGUGGAAUGCGCAGAUAUCGGGAGGAACACCGGUGGCGAAGGCAGGUCUCUGGGCAUUUAACUGACGCUGAGGAGCGAAAAGCAUGGGGGAGCGAACAGG
rnacentral:rRNA from 1 species